rnacentral:tRNA from 1 species
GGAAGCGUGCCCGAGAACAAAGGACCUCCUUGAUAGGGAGACUUACAGGGGUUCAACCCCCCUCGCCUCCUU